CCCACUCCUUCCCAAAUUUCUUCCCAAUUUAAAAAAAAAAAAUCACCGAUUUCAAUUUGGGCCGAUCACAUAAAUGUACCCAAAGGGGUAUGGGUGACCUGUGAGUGGCCACCUCUCCCCCAAGAAAAUUGUUUCUUCUUCCUCAGCAGUCAAGCCAUUAAAAAAAAAAAAGGAAAAUUCUAUUCAAGCCAAGGAGUGGGAGUGGUCUACCUUUAAAAGUACUAUGUUAAAGAGCAGGUCUCUUCUGACCUAGACUUGAAAGAUAACUAAGUUAUACAAGUCCAGGUUGAAGGAAGUACAUUAAGAUAUGAAUAGGGGCCAGGGAAACCUUUAAUCCCAGCACUCAGAAGGCAAAGGCAAGUGGAGCUUUGUGAGUUCAAAGCCAGCCUGGUCUACAUAGUGCACAGGUUACACUGUGAGACCCUGUCUCAAGCCAACCCUCUUCCUAAAAGUUGGGAGGUGGAGUUCAUCACAGCUCUGGUGAACUUUGUAUACCCUGAUGGUCUGAAUCACUUUUUUCACUCUGUACCCUCUCACCCGUCUCGUUUUCAUAACUGACCUUCUGCCUAAUUCUACUCUUCUCUCACACUUCCCUGCCUGGACAGAAGCCCUGCCUUGAACUUCAGGCUGCCUGGCUUGGAUCCUGAUGCUGCUUUGCUGACACAAUCCAUUCUCCCAGGGAACACCCAGAGUUCCACUCCAGCCCUGGCAACGCUGCAGCAGAGGCCAACUGUACGGAAAGUCUACAUUGGCUCGGAACAAUUGAGGCUGGGAGAGGGUAUCACAGCAAUUUCCCCACAUCCAUUCCAGCUGGUGAUUUCCUGCUUGGUCGUCUUUUAAAACCCAGCCAUCUGAAUCCGAGAGUUGCUUCUUCAGCAAGGCCUCCCCUGACUCCUUCAGAUGUCUAAGCACCACCCCUACUCUUCUGCUGCAGCAUCUCCACUUGCUUUUGUCCUUCAUCUCCCUGAAAUUAUUUGCUUACUCAUCCAUCCAUGUCAGUUGCAAAAGCAUGACUUCCUCUAGUCCAAAGGCCAUUCAUGUUCAAUAUGUUAGCACUCGGAGCGUCUCCAGUGGUUGUUUCAAACAAGGCAAAUGAGUUCAGUUGAACUUUAUAUGUUCUGCCCUCCGACUGUGACUGUUAUUUACUUCCCUCCAAACAAAAUGUAAUAAUAAAAUGACUAACUGAACACUGC
rnacentral:lncRNA from 1 species